GAAAAUUUUUGUUGAAUGGCAUUGGACCCUUAGGAUGUACCCCAGGAAUGACCAACUCAAUUCAACAUAAGGGAGAAUGUGUUGAAUUCAUCAACAAGGUUGUGAACCUUUACAAUGUCGAACUAUCCGCAAAGCUGCUAGAGUUGCAAUCCCAUCUUCCUGGUUCUUUGUUCAUCCACUCGGAUAACUUCAAGCAUUUCCAAGAAUUGAAAGAAAACCCUGAAACAUACGGGAUAACAAAUAUGAAUAGUACUUGCUGGAUUCCAAACCAAAGUCUGUGCUUGGCGAGGGACAAGUAUCUCUUCUUUGAUGCAUUCCAUACAAGUCAG
rnacentral:misc_RNA from 1 species